rnacentral:misc_RNA from 1 species
CCGAGUUUACAACUCCCAAACCCAAUGUGAACCAUACCAAACUGUUGCCUCGGCGGGGUCAUGCCCCGGGUGCGUCGCAGCCCCGGAACCAGGCGCCCGCCGGAGGGACCAACCAAACUCUUUCUGUAGUCCCCUCGCGGACGUUAUUUCUUACAGCUCUGAGCAAAAAUUCAAAAUGAAUCA